rnacentral:rRNA from 1 species
AGCGCAGACGGCGAAGCAAGUCUGAAGUGAAAUGCAUGGGCUCAACCCAUGAAUUGCUUUGGAAACUGUUUGGCUUGGGUGUCGGAGGGGUAAGCGGAAUUCCUAGUGUAGCGGUGAAAUGCGUAGAUAUUAGGAGGAACACCGGAGGCGAAGGCGGCUUACUGGACGACAACUGACGUUGAGGCUCGAAAGCGUGGGGAGCAAACA